UAAGGUGAACCUGCGGAGGGAUCAUUA
rnacentral:rRNA from 1 species